AGUAACGGCGAGUGAAGCGGCAACAGCUCAAAUUUGAAAUCUGGCUCUUUUAGAGUCCGAGUUGUAAUUUGCAGAGGGCGCUUUGGCUUUGGCAGCGGUCCAAGUUCCUUGGAACAGGACGUCACAGAGGGUGAGAAUCCCGUACGUGGUCGCUGGCUAUUGCCGUGUAAAGCCCCUUUGACGAGUCGAGUUGUUUGGGAAUGCAGCUUUAAAUGGGAGGUACAUUUUUUUUAAAGCUAAAUAUUGGCCAGAGACCGAUAGCGCACAAGUAGAGUGAUCGAAAGAUGAAAAGCACUUUGGAAAGAGAGUCAAACAGCACGUGAAAUUGUUGAAAGGGAAGCGCUUGCAGCCAGACUUGCUUACAGUUGCUCAUCCGGGUUUCUACCCGGUGCACUUUUCCGUGGGCAGGCCAGCAUCGGUUUGGG
rnacentral:rRNA from 1 species